AUUGAACGCUGGCGGCAUGCCUUACACAUGCAAGUCGAACGGCAGCACGGGUGCUUGCACCUGGUGGCGAGUGGCGAACGGGUGAGUAAUACAUCGGAACAUGUCCUGUAGUGGGGGAUAGCCCGGCGAAAGCCGGAUUAAUACCGCAUACGAUCUACGGAUGAAAGCGGGGGACCUUCGGGCCUCGCGCUAUAGGGUUGGCCGAUGGCUGAUUAGCUAGUUGGUGGGGUAAAGGCCUACCAAGGCGACGCUCAGUAGCUGGACUGAGAGGACGACCAGCCACACUGGGACUGAGACACGGCCCAGACUCCUACGGGAGGCAGCAGUGGGGAAUUUUGGACAAUGGGCGAAAGCCUGAUCCAGCAAUGCCGCGUGUGUGAAGAAGGCCUUCGGGUUGUAAAGCACUUUUGUCCGGAAAGAAAUCCUUGGCUCUAAUACAGUCGGGGGAUGACGGUACCGGAAGAAUAAGCACCGGCUAACUACGUG
rnacentral:rRNA from 1 species